GCUCACGCACCCACCACCCCGUCCCGCUCCUCCCCUCCCCGCAUCUUGAUCGCGAGUCCGCAUGCUGCUAGCAUCGCAGGCUACCAUGCGAUUUUCGUCGCCGUCUCCGUCGUUGUCAAGCUAGCUCGCCGUUCGCCCCAAGUCAUCGGAAGCCCUUGCAGCUCCUAUUGUUGAGCUUUUUCAGAAGCCCGUUGAAGCUUUCUCCUCGCCGGUUGCGGCUGUUUCCGCCGGUCGCCGUUGCUCGCAACUCCAGGGUAUCACCAUUGUAGCUUUUCUAAAACUAUUUUGCUAAAACACAUCUAGAUGUGAGGUAAGUAUUACACAUCUAAGUUCUAUAUCAUUGAUCUUACGUGAA